AGCGAACGCUGGCGGCAGGCCUAACACAUGCAAGUCGAACGAACUCUUCGGAGUUAGUGGCGGACGGGUGAGUAACACGUGGGAACGUGCCUUUUGGUUCGGAAUAACUCAGGGAAACUUGUGCUAAUACCGAAUGUGCCCUUCGGGGGAAAGAUUUAUCGCCAUUAGAGCGGCCCGCGUCUGAUUAGCUAGUUGGUGAGGUAACGGCUCACCAAGGCGACGAUCAGUAGCUGGUCUGAGAGGAUGACCAGCCACACUGGGACUGAGACACGGCCCAGACUCCUACGGGAGGCAGCAGUGGGGAAUCUUGCGCAAUGGGAGAAAGCCUGACGCAGCCAUGCCGCGUGAAUGAUGAAGGUCUUAGGAUUGUAAAAUUCUUUCACCGGGGACGAUAAGGACGGUACCCGGAGAAGAAGCCCCGGCUAACUUCGU
rnacentral:rRNA from 1 species